UCAGGUUCCUGAAAACUGCGUCGACACUCUUUUGGGUCAGUCAGUUGUAAGAUUUAUCUGCAGCCGGUCUGCUCUGUCCAGCAUGCUGUCUGGCCACCUGGUGGAGUUUAUACUGGUCCAAGUGAAAUAAAAUAAAAUCAGCUUCAUAAUACACUCAGGUCUUCUACAUUCAGAAAUCUCCCAGUGGACUGAGAACACUAACUGAGUGUCGUCACAUCUCAUUACCUUCUCAUCAUUCUCUGUCUUCUAAACUAAAAUCUUAUAAAAUGGUGCACAAGACAGAAGAUUUCCAUUUGAUGUAGCGGAGCCAUAAAAACAUGGCAUCUUUUCAACAUACAGUAUUUCACUGCAUCAGCAGCUUUAAAAUGUUGGAACAAGCACAUCAGUGUUUCAAAAUGUAUAUAAACUAUGAAGGAAAUUUAAAGGGGACAGACAAGAAUAUAAUGCUUUAAAAGUCAAUUCAAAUUACCUUAAUAACCAGUGACAAUUGUUCAAGAUUCAUACAAAUAAAACAUUUUAUUUAUUCCAAUCCAAAUAUGACUCCAAAUAUUCAAUAAACUCUAUGUGCAAAAAUAGAACCAUUAAAAAAAAGGCAUGAAAACAGUUACAGUGCAAAGAACAUGUUAACCAUAAUAAUGUGUCCUGUAAGUGCAUGACAUGUUGAGUAAGUUGUAGAUAUUGUAUUAUUAUACCGUACAUACUCAUACCCACUUGGUAAUUAAUUUAUCUGACCUGUAUUAUAGUGUAUUAUAUUUUUGCUUAGUAUUUCUAUUCCUGUGUGCAGUGACGUGAUACUGAGCUGUUGUAACCAGAGUUUCCCCUCAGGGAUCAAUGAAGAUACAUACAUACAUACGGUAACAGUGGCAAGGAAAAACUUCCUUUAAGAGGCAGAAGGUUCUGAGAGAGAACGAGAGGCAGCUGUAACAAACAAAAAUAAAACAGUACAUUUCAGUUUAAAGUGCAUUUAAAUGACAAAAAUAAAAAAGGUUACAGCUCUUUGUGUUAAAGCUCCAUGUGGAGAAGUUAAAAAAAGUCUGGAAAUAAAGUCAAAACUCACAGCUGCAGUUACAGAACUGUAAAUACAAAAGGUAAAAACACAUUGCAUAUACAUGGAAUACGAGGUGGACAUGCUUCUCAGCAUUAGAUUUCAGGUCUGUCUGAUACGUGACAGAGUGUGAUGAGGCGUCCAAUCAAAACACUGGACAGCGUAAAGGUGAAGAACAGCGUUUCCUCCAUCAGGUCCAUUAUUUUGUAUAUCAGCUGUGUACUAUGACUCUUAUACCACGGCCACUUACUGAAGAAUAUAAAGGCAGCGUGUGUUUUCAUCAUUAGCAGCUUUUACACUUUGUUUGUUGUCAUUUUACUCAUGUGAUGUGUGUGAAGCAUCAAAGUUGUUGCUAUGGUUACCUGCUGGUAUGUUUGAUGUGCUCUGAUGGACAGUUUUAUUACCUGCCAGCCAAUGGGAAACUGGUAUUUUCUGUGUCCGUGGUAUAAAGUUGAAUUCUAACAGU